rnacentral:rRNA from 1 species
AUUGAACGCUGGCGGCAGGCCUAACACAUGCAAGUCGAGCGAAGCCUUCGGGCUUAGCGGCGGACGGGUGAGUAACGCGUGGGAACGUGCCCUUUGGUACGGAAUAGCCACGGGAAACUGGGAGUAAUACCGUAUGUGGUCGAGAGACGAAAGAUUUAUCGCCAAAGGAUCGGCCCGCGUUGGAUUAGGUAGUUGGUGGGGUAAUGGCCUACCAAGCCGACGAUCCAUAGCUGGUUUGAGAGGAUGAUCAGACAGACUGGGACUGAGACACGGCCCAGACUCCUACGGGAGGCAGCAGUGGGGAAUCUUAGCCCAUGGGGGAAACCCUGAUCUAGCCAUGCCGCGUGAUCGAUGAAGGCCUUAGGGUUGUAAAGAUCUUUCAGUGGGGAAGAUAAUGACUGUACCCACAGAAGAAGCCCCGGCUAACUCCGUGCCAGCCGCCGCAGUAACAC